rnacentral:rRNA from 1 species
AUUGAACGCUGGCGGCAUGCCUUACACAUGCAAGUCGAACGGUAACAGGUUAAGCUGACGAGUGGCGAACGGGUGAGUAAUGUAUCGGAACGUGCCCAGUCGUGGGGGAUAACUGCUCGAAAGAGCAGCUAAUACCGCAUACGACCUGAGGGUGAAAGCGGGGGAUCGCAAGACCUCGCGCGAUUGGAGCGGCCGAUAUCAGAUUAGGUAGUUGGUGGGGUAAAGGCCUACCAAGCCUACGAUCUGUAGCUGGUCUGAGAGGACGACCAGCCACACUGGGACUGAGACACGGCCCAGACUCCUACGGGAGGCAGCAGUGGGGAAUUUUGGACAAUGGACGCAAGUCUGAUCCAGCCAUGCCGCGUGCGGGAAGAAGGCCUUCGGGUUGUAAACCGCUUUUGUCAGGGAAGAAAAGGUUCUGGUUAAUACCUGGGACUCAUGACGGUACCUGAAGAAUAAGCACCGGCUAACUACGUGCCAGCAGCCGCCGCCG